rnacentral:lncRNA from 1 species
CUCGCAUGUAUGGCGCGUGGACAAGGUGACUUAGCCAAUAAGCUUAUGCGUGAUCGCGUGUACGGAAGUAAAACAAACAUAAAUGUAGCCAUAGAAGCUUCAAUAAACGGAGUUCUGCUUUACCUACAUCGUGUCGGUGUUCUUGCUCCCCUCCACCUGGCCGCUGCACUGUGGUGACCCCGACGUGAUACUGCACGGACGCUGCGGACGAGAGAAGGUGGAGACAUCCCGGCUGCUAGGAAAGCAGGCUGCUCGAGAAGCAGGAUCCUUGUUGUGGCCACGGCUGACCGGUGAGUCAGGCAGACUGCGGUCUGGACGGGAUGGGUGCCGCUGUAUCAGCGAUAGAACGAGCUACAGUCGACGGGUUGCUCAGUGUAGCGAAAAGGACUGGGCACACGCUCCCUCGAGCUGAGCUCGUGGACUUCUUGUAUUGGUGUCGGAGACGUGGUCUCUUGACUUCUUCUGAUCAAUUGUUUGAUAUCGAACAUUGGGAAAAGAUUGGGUCUGAAUUAUGGCAAAGUGUGCAGAACGGCCAAAAGGGGAGCAAGCAGAUGGCGCAGAUCUUCCGAAUAGUUCGGGAGAUGAUUCAACAAGUCCAUGCUGAUGCUGAAAUCGCCACUGCUUUGCAAAAAGCCCUCGAUUGUUCUACACAGCCGAAGGAAAAGGAAAAAGACGAGGAGGGAAAGGACAGUUGUUCGACGUUGAUAGACUGGGAGGCAAAAUCUGAUCCUCCCUCAUCGUACCCCCCACUAGCAGCGCCUAUGUUUCGGGGAGAGUUUGAGGAUCUCAUUCCCCCUUGGACCCCUAACGAGAUUUCUGCUGGGACAGCUGCUGCGCCUUCUGCGCCCCCUCCCCCGGAGGCUAUGGAGGUUGAUCCAGCUAAAGUACCGUUACCGGAGGACGGAAAAACGUCCCCUCAGAAUCCUCUUGUCGAUGAGCUACGGUUGCAACGAGAGCAGAUGGCUAAGUUGCUGGGGGCAAUGCAAGAAAUAGACUCUAAAGGGUGGGACGAACAGCCUUGUUUGGUAUGUCAAAGUGAGCUCUGUUUUUCCUGGGUUGC